rnacentral:ncRNA from 2 species
CCCCACGCUCCGGGGUGCCCCGGGUCGGCAAAGCCUCGUCCCGCGAGGCGCUGCGGAUCCGACGUGCUGAGAUGGUCGAAGACCGAACCCGCUGUACUUGACCCGGUUAAUACCGGCGUAAGAAGAGCCUGCACCUCGGCC